GAAACUGAUUUUUUUCUUUGCUUCUAUGACAGGUAUUCGCUAACAAAAGCCUUCUGCAUCGCUUUUGUGCUGACAUUCUUCAGUGCAUUUGAUGUACCUGUAUUUUGGCCAAUUUUGUUGUUCUAUUGGGUUGUACUAUUCAUUUCGACAAUGAAGAGGCAGAUAAUGCACAUGAUCAAAUAUAGAUAUGUCCCCUUCACAUUUGGCAAACAGCGUUACAGCGGGAAGAAAGAAACAGUCAUCGAUGAAGCAGAUGUUUAAGGUUCAAAGUAGAUCAAGGCAUUUUAUGAUAAGAACAUGGAUCUGUUUUGGGUAACUGAUUUGGCUAGACAGAACUAUCUUCUCCAUAAAAAGGUUUCUAGAUUGGAACGAGCCACGCCACCGACAUAUAAUCAUCAAUCAACUGUUAGAUUUUAAAACUCUAGCUUUUCUCUUAGUAGCAAUAUGUACUUAUUUUUGUCUUGAUGGGUAAGUAGCUCCUGAAUGUUUAUAUUCAUUUUUGAGCUGCUCCAACCUUGCGUGGACAACUGUUAUUCAAGUUCUGGUAGAUGCCGAGUCUGCAGUGUACUCGGGAUAAAUGUUUAGUGAAAUAUUGGGGAUAUCUUAUUGUUCGCUUUUACUGCUUCCUGUCACCCCCCAACGUAGGUGAGGUGGACAGGCACGCAGUACCUCAUUUA